rnacentral:rRNA from 1 species
GAACGCUGGCGGCGUGCCUAAUACAUGCAAGUCGAGCGAACUGAUUAGAAGCUUGCUUCUAUGACGUUAGCGGCGGACGGGUGAGUAACACGUGGGCAACCUGCCUGUAAGACUGGGAUAACUUCGGGAAACCGAAGCUAAUACCGGAUAGGAUCUUCUCCUUCAUGGGAGAUGAUUGAAAGAUGGUUUCGGCUAUCACUUACAGAUGGGCCCGCGGUGCAUUAGCUAGUUGGUGAGGUAACGGCUCACCAAGGCCACGAUGCAUAGCCGACCUGAGAGGGUGAUCGGCCACACUGGGACUGAGACACGGCCCAGACUCCUACGGGAGGCAGCAGUAGGGAAUCUUCCGCAAUGGACGAAAGUCUGACGGAGCAACGCCGCGUGAGUGAUGAAGGCUUUCGGGUCGUAAAACUCUGUUGUUAGGGAAGAACAAGUACAAGAGUAACUGCUUGUACCUUGACGGUACCUAACCAGAAAGCCACGGCUAACUACGUGCCAGCAGCCGCGGUAAUACGUAGGUGGCAAGCGUUAUCCGGAAUUAUUGGGCGUAAAGCGCGCGCAGGCGGUUUCUUAAGUCUGAUGUGAAAGCCCACGGCUCAACCGUGGAGGGUCAUUGGAAACUGGGGAACUUGAGUGCAGAAGAGAAAAGCGGAAUUCC